GGCCUAGUGGCGGAUGGUUCCGCGUCUGCAAAAUGUAAGAUUGUAAUACAUGUGCGGCAAGCAGAAGACGCUCGUUCGAAUCGAGUCUGGGCUA